UCAUGGAUCAUUGGUGGGGGUAGAGCACUGAAUGUGCGCGGGGGCCACAAAGCCUACCAAACGCUAUCAAACUACGAAUACCAUACAAUGCAGACCAUGGGAGUCAGUCCGCGAGAGAUAAGUUCCGCGGGCAAAAGGGGAACACCCCAGAUCAACCGCUAAGGUCCCCAAGUUCACGUUAAGUGGAGAAGGAUGUGGAAUUGCACAGACAACCAGGAUGUUGGCUCAGAAGCAGCCACACAUUUAAAGAGUGCGUAAUAGCUCACUGGUCGAGUGAUUGUGCGCCGAAGAUGUCCGGGGCUAAACGUGACACCGAAGCGAUGGGUGCAUCUGAAGAAGAUGCGCGGUAGAGGAGCAAUGUGCAGAGGCAGAAGCCGUAUCGAGAGGCACGGUGGACACUGCACAAGAGAGAAUGCCGGUAUGAGUAGCGAGAGGCAUGCGAGAAACAUGCCCGUCGAAAGCCCAAGGUUUCCUGGGGAAGGUUCAUCCGCCCAGGGUAAGUCGGGGCCUAAGCCGAGGACGGAAGUCGUAGGCGAUGGACAGCAGGUGUAGAUUCCUGCACUACCGAUGGAAUGAAGCAGUGACACAGAAGGAUAACUCGAGCAGGGUGAUGGUCAACCCUGUGCAAGCAUCAAGGUUGGGUUGUAGUGAAGUACGCAAUCCUAUAAGCUGAGAUGUGAUGCGGACCGAAAUUUCAGUAGGGAAGCGAGUGAGUUCACGCUGGCGAGAAAAGCUGCUAGUACAUCCAAAGGUACCCGUACCGGAAACCGACGCAGGUGGGCGAGGAGAGAAUCCUGAGACGAACGGGAGAACCCUUGUUAAGGAACUCGGCAAAAUGACCCCGUAACUUCGGGAUAAGGGGUGCCUGCGAGAGCAGGCCGCAGAGAAUAGUCACAAGCGACUGUUUAGCAAAAACACAGGUAUCUGCGAAAGCGAGAGCUGACGUAUAGGUGCUGACACCUGCCCGGUGCUGGAAGGUUAAGGGAACAUGUUAGAGCAAUCGAAGCAUCGAACCGAAGCCCCAGUAAACGGCGGCCGUAACUAUAACGGUCCUAAGGUAGCGAAAUUCCUUGUCGGGUAAGUUCCGACCCGCACGAAUGGUGUAACGACUUGUGAGCUGUCUCAACAGGGGGCCCGGUGAAAUUGAAGUAUGGGUGAAGAUGCCCAUUACCCGCGACUGGACGGAAAGACCCCGUAGAGCUUUACUGCAGCCUGAUAUUGAGUUUCGGUAACUGAUGCACAGGAUAGGUGGGAGUCUGAGAGACAUGGGUUUCGGCUCAUGUGGAGACGAUGUUGGGAUACCACUCUUCGGUUACUGAAAUUCUAACAUAGCUCUGUGAAACCAGAGGAUGGACAGUGUCAGGUGGACAGUUUGACUGGGGCGGUCGCCUCCGAAAGAGUAACGGAGGCGCCCAAAGGUACCCUCAGAAUGGAUGGAAACCAUUCGAAGAGCGCAAAGGCAGAAGGGUGCCUGACUGCGAGAGUGACAACUCGAGCAGAGACGAAAGUCGGGCUUAGUGAUCCGGCGGUAUUGAGUGGAAAAGCCGUCGCUUAACGGAUAAAAGCUACCUCGGGGAUAACAGGCUGAUCUCCCCCAAGAGUCCACAUCGACGGGGAGGUUUGGCAC
rnacentral:rRNA from 1 species